AUUGAACGCUGGCGGCAGGCCUAACACAUGCAAGUCGAGCGGGGUUUUCGGACCUAGCGGCGGACGGGUGAGUAAUGCGUAGGAAGCUGCCCGAUAGAGGGGGAUACCAGUUGGAAACGACUGUUAAUACCGCAUAAUGUCUACGGACCAAAGUGUGGGACCUUCGGGCCACAUGCUAUCGGAUGCGCCUAUGUGGGAUU
rnacentral:rRNA from 1 species